rnacentral:rRNA from 1 species
UACGUAGGGUGCGAGCGUUGUCCGGAAUUAUUGGGCGUAAAGAGCUCGUAGGCGGUCUGUCGCGUCUGCUGUGAAAUCUCAGGGCUUAACCCUGAGCUUGCAGUGGGUACGGGCAGACUAGAGUGCGGUAGGGGAGACUGGAAUUCCUGGUGUAGCGGUGAAAUGCGCAGAUAUCAGGAGGAACACCGGUGGCGAAGGCGGGUCUCUGGGCCGUAACUGACGCUGAGGAGCGAAAGCGUGGGGAGCAAACAGG